rnacentral:sRNA from 1 species
ACUGGGCAUGGUGGUGCACGCCUGUAAUUCUGGCUGCUCAGAAAGCUGAGGCAGGAGGAUGAGGAUGGCAAAUUCAAGGCCACUCUGGGCACCCUAGUGAGAUCCUGUCUCAA